rnacentral:rRNA from 1 species
UACGGGGGGAGCAAGCGUUGUUCGGAUUUACUGGGCGUAAAGGGCGCGUAGGCGGUCGUGACAAGUCACUUGUGAAAUCUCCGGGCUUAACUCGGAACGGUCAAGUGAUACUGUCGGACUAGAGUACAGAAGGGGCAACUGGAAUUCUCGGUGUAGCGGUGAAAUGCGUAGAUAUCAAGAGGAACACCUGAGGUGAAGACGGGUUGCUGGGCUGACACGUGACGCUGAGGCGCGAAAGCGUAGGGUAGCAAACGGG